AUGGACCAGAAGACCUGAGACCAAGACGACCCAAGCCCAACCCAUAGUAUGCUUCACUGACAAAUGUUGAUGCUUCAUCAUCACAUAGACCAAAGGUUUCAGAGAAGGCUGGUAGAGCUCUCUAUGAGUGUGAGCUGUGGGAGAUAACCAAGAACUGACAACCACCUACAGAAGAGGUGGCGAUAAUGGCUCUCCAAGAGGAGGUUGUGAGUCUGAAGGCUUUUAUUCAACAAGGAGGCACUUAGAGGGAAUGCCUGGACUCUGAAAGGACUAAGACGAUAAUUGAGGCCACCCUGAAGCAGUUCCCAGGCCAGACACUCACUCCAGAUUGCUGGGCCAGGCAAUAAAUGCCAAAGUGACAGAACUGAGGUUCCAUAACAAAAACAAAGAUUUUCAAUAAAAUAGAAAAGAUAAC